GGUCAUUUAGAGGAAGUAAAAGUCGUAACAAGGUCUCCGUUGGUGAACCAGCGGAGGGAUCAUUACCGAGUUUACAACUCCCAAACCCCUGUGAACAUACCAAUUGUUGCCUCGGCGGAUCAGCCCGCUCCCGGUAAAACGGGACGGCCCGCCAGAGGACCCCUAAACUCUGUUUCUAUAUGUAACUUCUGAGUAAAACCAUAAAUAAAUCAAAACUUUCAACAACGGAUCUCUUGGUUCUGGCAUCGAUGAAGAACGCAGCAAAAUGCGAUAAGUAAUGUGAAUUGCAGAAUUCAGUGAAUCAUCGAAUCUUUGAACGCACAUUGCGCCCGCCAGUAUUCUGGCGGGCAUGCCUGUUCGAGCGUCAUUUCAACCCUCAAGCCCAGCUUGGUGUUGGGACUCGCGAGUCAAAUCGCGUUCCCCAAAUUGAUUGGCGGUCACGUCGAGCUUCCAUAGCGUAGUAGUAAAACCCUCGUUACUGGUAAUCGUCGCGGCCACGCCGUUAAACCCCAACUUCUGAAUGUUGACCUCGGAUCAGGUAGGAAUA
rnacentral:rRNA from 1 species